GCUGUAGCAGUGGCAAUACUUCUAAUUCUAGGAGAGGGAGAAGAAUCAAUAAGGGUAGGCCACACUGGUUGCCACAAGGUUGGAAGAUCAUAGAAAGAAUUCGCAAGAGUGGUAGAGAUAUCAAUAAAUUUUACAAGACUUAUAUUAGCCUGGAAGGACACCACUUUUGGUCAAAGCCUCAAGUUUUGAAGCAUCUCAAAAAAAAUACCAAUUGAAGUUGUGGUUGAACAGCUUUAAGAAAGUAGACAAUUUAAUCAAUUUGUAGAAUUAUUUUGAGAAUAAUUCGGAGGCUCGAACUAUCUAGUAUGA